GCGUUGUUGGUUUAAUGGUAAAAUUCGUCGUUGCCAUCGACGAGCUCCGGGUUCGAUUCCCGGACGACGCA
rnacentral:tRNA from 1 species